AAACAGCAAGCAUCCUGCAUAUUGAUUUCGACCCAAUGAGAGCGCUCAGCGCACUGUUUU
rnacentral:tRNA from 1 species